rnacentral:rRNA from 1 species
AACGAACGCUGGCGGCACGCCUAACACAUGCAAGUCGAACGAAGCAUAAGAGCUUGCUCUUAUGACCGAGUGGCGCACGGGUGAGUAACACGUGGGAAUCUGCCUAUUGGUGGGGAAUAACUUUUGGAAACGAAAGCUAAUACCGCAUAAGCCCUAAGGGGGAAAGAUUUAUCGCCAAUAGAUGAGCCCGCGCUAGAUUAGCUAGUUGGUGAGGUAAGAGCUCACCAAGGCUACGAUCUAUAGCUGGUUUGAGAGGAUGGUCAGCCACACUGGGACUGAGACACGGCCCAGACUCCUACGGGAGGCAGCAGUGGGGAAUAUUGGACAAUGGGGGAAACCCUGAUCCAGCGAUGCCGCGUGAGUGAAGAAGGCCUUCGGGUUGUAAAGCUCUUUCAGAGGGGAUGAUAAUGACGGUACCCUCAGAAGAAGCACCGGCUAACUUCGUGCCAGCCGCCGCAGUAA